rnacentral:rRNA from 1 species
UACGUAGGGGGCUAGCGUUGUCCGGAUUUAUUGGGCGUAAAGAGCGUGUAGGCGGCCAGGUAGGUCUGGUGUGAAAACUCGAGGCUUAACCUUGAGAUGUCAUCGGAAACCAUUUGGCUAGAGUCCGGAAGAGGAAAGUGGAAUUCCUGGUGUAGCGGUGAAAUGCGCAGAUAUCAGGAAGAACACCAAUGGCGAAAGCACUCUGCUGGGCCGACACUGACACUGAGAGACGAAAGCUAGGGGAGCGAAUGGG